AAUACCCAGGGCCACAACGUCCUCUACCCCUGCGCCUGCGCCGCCGGGUUGAACCUUCCCCUGGAGCCGUUGCCCAAUCAGUCGAACACCGAAGGAACUUUCAGUCAUCGUCGUUUCGGAUUUUAUAUAUGCAAAUUUCAUCUCGUGUCUAGUUUAUGUUUUCUUAAGAUUUGCUCUCUUUCGCCGCACUCUUCUUCUCGUUUUAAAGAUCGGAUCGCCACCGAGCGGAUCUGGAGCUCUUUGAAGAGGUGCUAUAUCAUACGGCGGACCUAUGGACAUGUGGCUUCUCCCAUUAGAUUCACGCAUUUUCUCGUAGGUCAAACAUAUUUUUCCAAGUUCCUGUUUGAUUCUCCCCAAGUCCAGUCUCGAUUCUGAUUUUGUGCUAACCGAUCCGUGGCUCGAUGAUGACUACUUUGCUUUAACCACACCGAAUCCAAGGCCGGAGGAAGUGUGCUUCUCCGCGCUGCGUCGUUGUGCUGCCCUCUCUCGUUGGUUCCUCGCGAAGUCUCUUCCUCUCGUCGAAGAAUCGAUUUUCUUCUUUCAUGAGAGGUCUUGACGGAAGGAUUCGGCGAGAUGGGAGAGCAUAGCUGGUGGUACCGGCAUGGCCGCUUUCGAUGGUCCUUCACAUGUGGAAAAACAGUGCCUUUAACUGAGAGCCUAAAUAGAUCUGGUUUCUUUUGAACCGCAGUUAUGCAAGAUUUUUCGAGUACAAUGUUUAUCUGAUUUUCUUAGGUUUAACUAAGCCACUUAGGUAGCGAAUGAUAUCGGCUUUCUUGCAAUAGAGUGCAAAAUAACACAUUAAAGAACUAGAACUAAAAUUGCAACCAAAUAGUUUUCUGUUGAGUAGCAACUGCUGAUAAUCUAAAUCUUUGAUAUAUUUCUUCCCCCCUUUGCAAUUAGAGCGAACUAAUCCAGUCCAACCCCUGUUGAAAAACUGGAAAUUGUUUUGUGUUUAACUGUAGAUUUGACCUUGAAGCAGCGAUCUCUACUUUGGUAGACAAUUGAAUGACCCAUUUUGCAAAGGAAAAUCAUGACAGUAUAGUUAUAAAAUUCAUAGCUAACACAUGGAUAUAUGCAAUUCAAUGACUAUACAAAACACAUAAAAGACCAUUUAAUUAAAUAUAUUUGAGAAUUUUUUGAUGUGAAAUAAAAGCAAACUCAUUUGGUCCCAUAGCUUUUCCUUUUGAGGCAAUUUCUUUGGUUCUGAGAUGGAUAUAACCCAAAUAUCUUGUCUGUGAGGGAGGUUAUCUUGUUAUCUCGUGGAGGUGUUUGGAUGUCAUUUCCUUAAUCUGGUGUUAUCUCUUACAUUUGUGUAAAGUGAAUUUGAUUUGGUUGGCUGCUGAUGAUUCAGGUCAUAAAGGAUCUUAGUGGAUUUCGGUGAGGUGGAUUUGUCUGCCGUUGAUCGAUUCAUGUUGUUACACACACUGAAGCCUUCUCCUUCCAGUCUCUUCUGCCCAUUUCAUUCUUGUUCCCAGUGUCCCUUGUAGGUUUUUGGCAGCUUCUUGUCAUCCGUGAGCCUUCAAAAAAAAAGCUGACUUCUCUUUCCACUGAGCAAUUCUUAAUUUUGUGUUCUUCUUUGCUGUAGCACAGUGUAAACAGCAGCUGCAUCUUUGCUGCUGCAACUGUCUAUCCCUGUAUCAUAACCUUUGUGGUUUGUACUGGGUGGAAAUACCCAUUUGCGGCUGCUUUAUUCAGCUAUGUGUGUUUUGAAUUGGGUCUCCGAGGGAUUGCUGAAAUCUUUUCUGUUCUCUUGUAGCAUUUUAUUCUGUCUUCUUGGGCCUGAUGCCACGUCUCUGGUAGCCAAAGCCUUUACAGGAGAUGCUACAUUUUGCUUACAGAUAUUUUCACAUUUGAUAGGUACCUGUGGCUGUGAUUUAGUCGAUGCACAAAACUGUUUUUUUGCGAUUACAUUUCUUGCUUGACAUAAGUAUUUGUUUUGAUUUUAAAUUGAGGAAAACAAUGGUGAUGAUGAUUGAACUAAAGUUUGUUUCUCAAAACAUUUGCAGAUAUUGCCUAAGAGCUUUCGCCCUGCUAGGCUUUAGAGCUAAUGCUGCCAAUUCCUUCCUUGGGUUCCUGUGUAUCUUUCUCCUUAUUAUAGGACAAUUCAUAAAUUGAUGCAGAUAAGAAAUAAAUAAAAUUCCCAGGCCAUCAUUGCGAGAAUGAGAGAUGUGCACAAAGCUGUGUCAUUAUAUUGAAUUGUAGAACCAUCAUUUCCCUGUCUAUGCAUCUGUCUUACUCCUAAAAAUUAGGUCUCUUCACCCUAGGCUAUGUUACUACCUUCUUAUGUGUGUUGUUAUGCAAAGCUUCAUUUAUUAGUUUAUAAACUCAUAUUGUAUUGGGAUAUGUUAUGUUACAGUAACUAGCUGAGUUACUCAAAUUACCUCUCUCCUAACUAACUCAUUACCACAUAGGCAAUUUUACUGAGUUGGACUUUAUGUUACCGUUGAAGUUAUUCCCACUAUGGCCAGUCUAAGUUGAAUUGUCAUCCACAACGAAAUAACAAUGGAAUGAAACAUUACAAACUACUCCCUCUGUUCCUAAAUAUAAGUCUUUUUAGAGAUUUUACUAAGAGACUACAUACGGAGCAAAAUGAAUGAAUCUAUCCUCUAAAAUGUGUCUAUACAUCCGUAUGUAGUCUUCUAGUGAAACCUAAAAUUGGAGGUAGUAUAUUUAGGAACAGACGGAGUAUUAAACAAAUGGAAGUCACAUAGCUCACCAUGAAAUAAAUAAAAAACACGAAAAUUGCACCAAAUCCAUUGGAAGGGAGAGUAUAUACAACUUUUGGUUUCCAUGUAUUCUCAAUCAAAUCAUUUUGAAUUUGACUUAGUUGUCUAAUCAUGCGAUUCUUGAAUAAAUUUGAUGAAAUGUUCAUAUGUUUUUGCCUAAGUCUCAUCCUGCCAAUCUCACCUUUGGUCAUAGAUAUCUAUGACUAUGCUGUGCAAGGUCACUCAUCGAGAUUGGAAAACACCAAAAGUGUGCUCUGCAUCCUUUCUAUCACUUCUGUCGAUGAAGGGUCCUGUUCACACCAGGGCUGUCAAACCAUGCGUCCUCUGGUUGUGACUGUGGAAGUAGUGGUGGUAUGAUCAGGGCUACCAGUGACUGUGGGUAGGCUACCAUUGUUCUAUUUUGGCGGCAAGAAGCGGCCACAAUGCCAGCAGAGUGGGCAUUCGUGGAUGAGAUGGUGGUGGGGCCAUCGGUGGAUGUGGUGGUUGGGUAGUGGCAAUUGAGAAGAGGCCUGAAGCUGUAUGGUGGUGGUCGUGACGGCAAACAAGUUGGGUUGUUGAUGAGGGGAGGGAUUUGAAUGGCCUAUGUGCCACUGAGAGACAGGCCUGUGGGGAGGACAAAGGUUGGAUACUGCGGGUGUCUGGUGUGUCUGAGUGGACCCAAAACCAGACCAAAUUUGGGCGUAAAUGGGUUAUUUUGGUUAUCAAUUUGCUACUGCUCCAGACCAAAUCUGUCCUUGUGCAUUGCAAAAACUGAUUACCGAUGGAUCUCAUUGCAGCUGUUGAGAUGGUGCCUACAAAUGGGGAUUCCAGCCAAGACCAAUUCCAACUUAACAGUGCUAGCCCGCCUAUUUUGCUAGUGUAUCUCCAAAAACAUCGCGUGCUUAUUUACCAACUAUUUUGCUGGUUGGGCUGUGUUGAUUUAUUUUCUGGUUAUCAUUCUCUUCUGCUGGCUGUUUCUUGGAGGAGCGUCGUUGAUGCAGAUGAGGAGACACAAGUUUAUGGGUAAUUUGCGUCUGAGGCAUCUCUGUGAUGUCCCACCCUUUUCACCUUGGAGAUCUGAUGCAUCCUUGAGAAUUAUCUUUCUAUGUGUUUUUUGUCCUUGCCACUUUUGAUUCGUUUGGGUGAGAUGAGGAUAUAGUUCCAUUGUUGAUGGAUGAUAUGAUGUCCAGUGAAUCAUGUAUUAGCUCUAUCUGAUCAUACCCGGCACUGGGUUUGUCUGAGUUUCUCUUUUUUAUUUGUUGGUCUGUUUCUUUUUAGUUGUUGAAAAUGAGUGCUGUUGGAUGCAGAUGAGCAGACAUGAGUUUAUGUGUAAUUUGUGUCAGCCAUUUUUGUUAUGUCACUCUUUUCACCUUGGAGGUCUGAUGCACCCCCCUCACUCACGUCUUUCAUGUUCUUACUACUUCCCUUUCAAAAAUCUGUUGUUUUGGGUUUUAAUUGGUGAGAGAUGAGAUGAUGAAUGAGAUUAAUUUCCCUAUUGGUUUGACUGGCUGACAUGAUGGCCCACACGCUGGACUUCGAGCACCUCAUCCAGCUAGUUGACCUGUCAGGUCUAGAGGCGCCGUUCAGCCCCGACGAGAUAUGGUAGGCUGUGCGGCGCAUGCCGGCGCACAAGGCACCGGGGCUGGACGGCUUUACCGCGGAGUUCCUGCGAGCGUGCUGGAGCACCAUUAAGCAGGACGUGCUUGAGGUCUUUGAGCAGCUCUAUACGCCGAGGGGGCGUGGAUUCCACACGCUCAACAAAGCACUGCUCACCUUGCUGCCAAAGCGCUCCGAUGCUCACAAGCUCGGCGAUUACCGACCGAUUUGCCUGAUACAUAUUGUGGCUAAGCUCUUCGCGAAGGUCCUUUCCCUGCGCUUGGCACCGAUGCUCGACGGCCUAGUGAGUCGCUAUCAGAAUGCUUUCAUCGUCGGACACUCCCUCAAGCUCCUGCACCAAUUGUGCGCGUCGAGGAUCAUGCUCAAGCUUGACCUCACCCGGGCCUUCGACUCCAUACCAUGGCCCUUCCUCUUCGAGGCCCUGCGCCAAUAUGGCUUCGGAGUGAGGUUCCGGGAGUGGCUGGCCAUCCUCCUCUCCUCGGCCAGCACCCGCGUCUUGCUCAAUGGCGUGCCGGGACCCUCAAUCUGGCACCGCCGUGGGUUGAGACAGGGUGACUCCACAUCCCCGUAGCUCUUCGUCCUUGCCGUCGACACGCUCAGCCGCCUCAUGCAACGGGCGUUCCAGGCCGACAUUCUUCGGAGACUCCACCCCCGACGCAACAUCCCGGCUAUCUCGCUUUACGCCGAUGAUGUGAUGCUGUUCUGUCACGCCUUGACGGACGAGGUCCUUGCUGUCAAGGGCAUCUUAGGGAUCUUCGACUCCGCCUUCGGCCUGCAUGUGAACUACGGCAAGAGCUCUGCCACAACACUUCAUGGAGAUGAGUCGACCGUUGAAUCACUGGCGAUUCUGGGCUGCCAGACGGCGGCUCUGCCCAUCACGUAUCUGGGUAUCCCCCUCUCCACGCGUCGCCCCUCCGCGGCUCAGAUGCAGCCUCUAGUCGACAAGGUGGCCGGCCGCCUCCCAUCGUGGAAGGCAUGGCUCAUGAACAAGGCCGGGCGGCUGGCGCUCGUCAAGUCUGUGCUCAGCGCCAUCCUCGUCCACCAAAUGCUCGCCCUAGCGUCCUCAAAGAAAACUCUGAAGCAGCUUGAGAAGAUUCAACGUGGGUUCCUCUGGGCCGGGCGCGAGGCUGCCCACGGUGGGCACUGCCACGUGAACUGGCGCCGGGUAUGCCGACAGUUGGAGUACGACGGCCUGGGUGUCCGCGACCUAGAGCGCACGGGGCUUGCCCUUCGGCUCCGAUGGCUGUGGCUCUCAUGGACGGACACUAGCCACGCAUGGCAUGGCCUGGACCUGCAGUUCACCCCCGAGGAGUAUGGCCUCUUCUAUGCCUUCACCACCAUGCAGAUUGAAGACGGAUCGACAACGCUCUUCUGGGAGGACCGAUGGCUCCUCGGCCUCUCCAUCCGCGAGCACGCGCCCUCGCUAUACAUGUGCAUCCCCAAACAUCGCAGAAAGUACCGGACGGUGGCAGAGGGCACCGCCGGCAAUGCCUGGGCGAGGGACAUUCACGACACUAUUGGCCUUCAGGAGAUUGGGCAGUAUCUCCAGAUCUGGCUGUUGGUGUCCCGCAUCACCCUCUCCUCAGAGCCGGACACGCUCUCCUGGAAAUGGACAGCCAGCGGCAGCUACUCAGCCAGGUCCUGCUAUCUAGCCACCUUCCACGGAUCUAUCACUUGCCGGUCCUGGAAGUUGAUCUGGAAGGGUUGGGCCCCUCCGAAGGUCAAGUUCUUCCACUGGCUCGCUAAUCAGGACCGCUGUUGGACUGCGGAGCGCCUUGCUCGUCAUGGCCUAACGCAUCACCCUCGGUGCCUUCUUUGCGACCAAGAACCGGAGACGAUACAACACCUGCUGCUUUCUUGCCCAUUCGCGAAGCAGACUUGGCACGUGAUUAUGUCUUGGCUGCGACUACCGGCACCUGUGCCCGACCAGGACGCUCGCUGCAGGAUUGGUGGCUACGCGCUCGUGAUGCCACGCCUCACCCGCUCCGCAAAGCGCUGGCCUCGAUUGCGCUUCUCGUGCCUUGGAUGAUCUGGAAGCAUAGGAACGCAUGUGUAUUUGACCAUGUAACCCCAUCGCUAGUUGAGCUUGCCGAUGCGAUCGCCUUGGAUGAUCUGGAAGCAUAGGAACGCGUGUGUAUUUGACCAUGUAACCCCAUCGCUAGUUGAGCUCGCCGAUGCGAUCAAGGACGAGUCCAGGAAUUGGGCGAAGGCAGGGGCCAAGGGGCUUAGGGUCACCCUGCCACCCUCCUGGGACGUGCAUUGAUCUGGUUAUAACACCUUUGUACUAGCCUCCUAGGAGGUUGUCUCUCCCUCUUUUCAAUACAAUGAAACACAAAGUCUUUUGCGUUUUCUCGGAAAAAAAUUAGUUAAUUUGAUCCCAUCAACUGGGGAAAUGGUAUGGCAGUGAUGACACAUUUAAGGCUUGUUUCUCAAUACAUUCGCAGUUGCCGCCUAACAGCUUUCGCCCUGCCAGGCUUGAGAGCUAAUGCUGCUAAUUCCUUCCUUGGAUGUCUGAACCCCAUUUCAUAUUCGUUUCAAUUUUAGUUUGUUGUUUUUGUGUUUGUUUUGUUGCAUUGUCUUGUUUCUCAAUGGUUUUAGCCCUGCCAGAUUUUAUUCUCUCAAGCAGAAAUCAUCCAUUCCAAGGCUUAUGUUCCUCAUUUAGAUGUUGAUUUUUGUACAAGUCUUUAGUUUUGUAUUUUUCUAAAUUUAGAUUGAAGGUCGGGAAAGCAAUGGUGGAACAUGGAAGCCUCCUCGACAAAGUUGUCCAAGCGUUCAUUGCCACCUGAACCUGAAGACAUUGAUCUGACAUCCGGGAGCAUUAGUAGCUUGCGACAUUGAUUUGACAUCCGGGAGCAUUAGUAGCUUGCUGUUUGGUCGGGAAAGAAGAGGGGCAGGUUAGAAUUCAUCGAGUGCUAGGUCUGGCGAUUUACGCCCUCCUUGUAAUCGAAACCACAUCCAUACAAACCAAAGCAGGACGUAAGCCUUUACCUCCUCACGAGGGGUUGAACCUGGGUAAAUCGCCGUGUUUCUCCCGCUUAACCCCUUUGAGUCGCCACCAAGGUGCGAUGGCUCCAGUACUAAGUCCUUUCACGAGGACAUCUGCCGUGACAAAACCACGACAGUUGGCGCCCACCGUGGGGCUUGCGCACGGUGGAGUUGAGUUCUCAAAGGAAGCCCUACCAGGGUUUGGGAGUUACGCGAGAUGUUGAAGACGGCGGUGGUUCAAAACGCCCAGUUCUCACACAGCCUCGAGACGUUGCAUUCCACUCCCCAGGCAAGCUACACCAGGAGCCGGCCAGAGGACCAGCCUGCCGUAAACAGCGGGCCGCGACACGUCCCACAGGACAACCCGCCUGAUCGGAACCCGCCGGGCCGGGAUCUCCCGAACACCCAAGACGCCCCGGCCCCCCUCGUCGGGGGCGGAGGGCGAGUUGGGGUGCCAUGCUUGGCCCUCGCCCUUCGUAACGAAAGGAUGCCCAAAGAUUUUAAGGGACCAACAAAGGUGCCUAAUUACACCCCGGACCUUGAGCCGGCAUCAUGGAUCGAGAGUUAUGAAAUUGCCAUGGACAUGCUCGACGUAAACGAGGCAGUUUGCGCCAGAUACUUCACGAUGAUGCUCGAGGGGUCAGCACGUACUUGGUUGAAAAACUUACCUCCCAACUCCAUCCAGACCUGGGCUGAGUUAAAAGAGCGUUUCAUCAAAAACUUCCGAGGAACUUGCAAACGUCCGAUGACGAUCGUCGAUCUACAACACUGUGUUCAGCGCCUGGAUGAGUCGGCUCACCAUUGGUCACGGCGGGUUGCAGAAAUUAUCCAUUCGUCAGAUGGUAUUACGGCGGCUCAAGCUGUGCUGAUCCUCGAGCGGAAUUGCCAUUACGAACCCUUGGUGCAAAAAUUGGGGCGACUCAAGCGAAAGGUCCAAGACAUGGGAGAGCUGAUGGACACCCUCACUAGGUACGCUGAGGCAGAUGGCACCAAAGAUCCUGGUGAGGACGGUAAGGCUAAUUCGCCCAAAAAGGGCGAGUCAUCCAAAAACCAUACCCGGUUCCAGGGACGCAACCGCCACAAUCAAGGGGCCAAUAGCAAGCAAAGACCGCAAGAGGAGCCCUCGGACUUAGUCGCCAAUACCAAUGCCAACAAUGGCAACCAACGCCAGAAGAAAAACAGGGGGUUUAGCGGGAAGAGGUCGCGUAACUAUGAAGAGCUACUCAAAGGCCCUUGCCCGCACCAUGCCACGGCAGACGGUCCGACGACUCACUCCUGGGAGAAUUGCUUCGUAAUGCGGGAGUUUCGGGCGGAGGUGAUCAAGAAAAGUCAAAACGAUGACCCGGACCAACGCCAGGAGCAGUUCGCCGCACCCAACCAAUGACAGAACCCCUUCGGCGGCUUUCCUGAACAGGGGGCUCAGGGAGGCCCACAGCCAGGCGGCGGCCAAUACCCGGUGCACCACCAGCGGCGGUAUAACCCGCCAGGAGCCUUUCAACAGCCACCCCCACAGGGGGCUCCGCAGGGUCAGGAUGAUAACGGGGGUUUCCGCAGCAACCCCAAACAGUUAAGUAAUGGGCAGUAUCAUGUUUUCACCACCAAUGCUUGCAGGCGCGAUAAGAAGGCGAGUCACCGGGCGUACAGUGUAUCUGAACCGGCGCUUCCCAGAUACCUCCAUUGGUCUGAGCAGACCAUAACAUGGAGCAGGGAGGAUCACCCGCCAAGAGUUGACAACCCAGGCGAUUUAGCGUUGGUCGUGGCUCCCCAAGUUGGGGGUUACACCCUGUCCAAAGUGCUAAUGGAUGGUGGCAGCAGCAUUAAUAUCUUAUAUUUUGACACUUUCCAAAGGAUGAACCUAUUGGAAAAGGACCUGAUGCCUUCAACCACGGUCUUCCACGGAAUCGUCCCGGGCAAGUCGGCCUACCCCAUAGGCCGAGCCAGGCUCACAGUGGCGUUUGGAACUGCGCAGAAUUACAGGUCGGAGUCACUGAUUUUCGAGGUGGUCGAAUUGAAAAGCCCCUACCAUACGUUGUUUGGGCGGCUGGCUUACGCCCGCUUCAUGGCUCGCCUGUGUUAUGUUUACUUCAAGCUCAAAAUGCAUGGUCCCAAAGGACCCAUCACGGUUGAUGGAGAUAGAAGGAUUGCAAAGGAAUGUGAAGAAGGGGACGCGGCUUAUGCGGAAGUCGCGUGCGCUGCAGAGGAGCUCAAACACCAUCGAGCCAAUGUUGACCCGGCGGACAUGUCACCCCUAAAGAAGCCGACUACAGAUGCUGAGUCGCCCCUCAAGUUCAAGCCAACGGAUGACACUAAGACAAUCGAUUUCGUUCCUGGCGAUUCAUCCAAGCAGUUCACCAUUGGGACGGGUCUGGACCCCAAAUAGGAAAGCGCGCUCAUCGAAUUCAUCUGUGAGAAUUGGGACAUCUUUGCAUGGAAACCUUCUGACAUGCCUGGUGUGCCGAGAGAAUUCGCUGAGCACCAUCUUAAUGUUGACCCAAAGGCAAAACCCAUCCAACAGUACCUUCACAGAUUUAAUGAGGAGCGACGCAAGGCGAUUGGGGAAGAGGUUGCCCGUCUUUUAGCCGCCGGAUUCAUCAUGGAAGUUUUUCACCCCAAAUGGCUGGCUAACCCGGUUUUGGUACUCAAGAAGAACGGUACCUUUCGUAUGUGCAUUGACUAACCUAUCUCAACAGAGCCUGUCCAAAAGAUCCCUUCGCUCUUCCCCGCAUCGACCAGAUCAUUGACUCGGUUGCGGGAUGCGAGCGAUUGUGCUUUUUGGACGCUUACUCAGGAUAUCACCAAAUCAAGAUGGCCGUGGAGGAUCAAGAGAAAACAGCCUUUAUAACCCCCUUUGGGCCUUUUUGUUAUGUGUCCAUGCCUUUUGGACUCAAGAGUGCGGGGGCAACUUACCAGCGUUGCAUCCAGAAUUUCUUCCACAACCAAAUCGGUCGCAACGUCCACGCCUAUGUCGACGAUAUUGUGAUCAAAACCCGCCAGGGGGAGACACUACUGGAGGAUCUCAAGGAAACGUUCGAUAAUCUACGGGUAUAUCAGAUGAAGCUAAAUCCCACCAAAUGUGUUUUUGGUGUGCCUGUAGGGAAAUUGCUGGGCUUCCUGGUAUCGGAGCGCGGCAUUGAAGCUAACCCGGAUAAGAUCGAAGCAGUUACAUCCCUUGGAAAACCGGCGAACGUUAAUCAAGUUCAACGAUUGGCGGGUCGCAUCGCGGCCCUAAGUCGUUUCGUAAGUCGCUUGGGUGAGAAGGUGAUCCCUCUUUAUCAGUUAUUAAGGAAAUCUGAUCGGUUUGUUUGGACGAAUGAGGCAGACAAGGCGCUCGAAGUCCUGAAACGCCAAUUGGUUAACCCGCCGGUCCUGGCCGCCCCGACUGAAAAAGAGCACAUGCUUCUGUAUAUCGCGGCAAAUUCCAAAGCAGUAAGUGUGGUAGUGGUCGUUGAAAGAAAGGAGGAAGGGAAGGAAUACCCAGUUCAACGCCCAGUCUAUUUUAUCAGCGAGGUGCUAACCCUUUCCAAGCAGCGGUACCCACACUGGCAGAAGUUGGUAUAUGGGGUGUUUAUGGCAAGUCGGAAACUUAAGCAUUACUUCCAAGAACACCCUAUCACAGUGGUUAGUUCUGCCCCCCUUGGGGACAUCAUCCAGAAUCGGGAGGCAACAGGGCGGAUUGCCAAGUGGGCAAUUGAACUUGGGCCGCACCACAUAUAGUAUACCCCCCGCACAGCCAUCAAGUCUCAGGCUUUAGUUGAUUUCGUCAACGACUGGACGGAGUUGGAGGCUCCGGAAGAUAGGCCUGAUCUCACUUACUGGACUAUUUACUUUGAUGGAUCUAGGCAACUGGAAGGCUCGGGGGCUGGUGUGGUGUUGGUAUCCCCUCAAGGAGAUAAAUUCUGCUACGUUCUCCGACUCAUGUUUCCAUGCACUAACAAUGCGGCGGAAUACGAAGCUUUGCUUCACGGCUUGUGACUCGCCAAGGAGAUGAAUUUAACACGAGUCAGAUGCUUUGGCGACUCUGAUUUGGUGGCGCAGCAAGUUUCGGGUACCUGGGAUUCUCGGGACCCCAUGAUGGCGGCUUAUAGAAGAGCUGUGUGUGAUGUGGCGGGUCAUUUUCAUGGUUAUCAGGUGGACCACAUUGAUCGACGCCUCAACGAGGCAGCUGACGCCCUCUCACGACUUGGUUCCCAACGAAAGCCAGUUCCUCCCAAUGUUUUCCUGGAUAUUUUACAUAAACCAUCCGUGAUUUUACCAUCGGAGGAGGAGUUGGCAAUACCAGAUCCCGAGUCUCAGCUCAUGGCGGCUCUCCACGUCACGCCAGAUUGGGUUCUUCCUUAUCUGGCUUAUCUCGCUAGGGCUGAGUUACCAACAGACGAAGUUUCGGCUCAUCAAAUCGUUCGCCGCAGCAAAUCCAUGGUCAUCAUCAAUGGCGAGUUAUAUAAGCGGAGCGCCUCUGGAGUUUUUCAGCGAUGCGUUUCCUCCGAAGAAGGAUGCAUAAUCUUAAAUGACAUUCAUUCCGGAGACUGUGGGCAUCAUUCCGGGUCACGCUCUUUGGUGUCAAAGGCUUUUCAUCAUGGUUUCUUUUGGCUGACGGCUCAUGCUGAUGCAGAAGAUAUAGUUCGUCGGUGCGAAGAUUGCUAGCGUUAUGGGCGACAGGCUCAUGUGCCGGCUCAAGAAUUAAGAAUGAUCCCCAUCACUUGGCCUUUUGCGGUCUGGGGGCUGGACAUGGUCGGCCCCUUUAAAAUGUCCUCUAACAAGAAGACCCAUCUGCUGGUGGCAGUUGAUAAGUUCACCAAGUGGGUUGAGGCGGAACCUAUUGGAGCUUGCGAUGCGGAGACAACGGUCAAAUUCUUGAAAAAGCUGAUUUUCCGGUUUGGGUAUCUGCACAAUAUCAUUACUGAUAAUGGUACUAACUUGUCCCAAGGGGCGAUGCAGGAGUUUUGCCGUCGAGAGCAUAUCCGGCUUGAUGUUUCUGCAGUCGCUCACCCACAAUCUAAUGGGCAGGCGGAGCGGGCGAAUCAGGAGGUUUUGCGAGGAAUUAAGCCCCGACUCAUGGUUCCCCUGGAGAAAACCCCAGGGUGUUGGGUUGAAGAAUUACCUUCAGUACUGUGGAGUAUUCGGACUACUCCGAACCGGUCCACAGGUUUACCCCUUUCUUUCUGGUCUACGGAGCAGAAGCCGUACUUCCCACUGAUAUAAGGCAUGACUCACCUAGAGUCGCCGCAUAUGUGGAACAAGACAAUGAACUGGCGCGUCAAGACUCUUUGGACGUCUUAGAGGAGGCAUGUGACCUGGCUGCGGCCCGUUCAACUAUCUACCAGCAGGAUCUACGGCGUUAUCACAACCGCCGGGUUAAGAGUCGGACCUUUCAGGAAGGCGACUUGGUUCUUCGAUUGAUACAAGAUCGUGCUGGCAUGCACAAGUUAUCACCGCCUUGGGAAGGACCGUUCGUCGCCAGCAAGAAUCUCUGCAAUGGCUCUUAUUAUCUGGUGGAUCUUCGGCCUAACCGGCCAACCACGGAGGCUGAGUCAACUCGCCCGUGGAAUAUUGCCCACCUGCGGCCUUAUUACACUUGAGCUCUCGAGCUCUGCAUUUUGUAAGUUUUUCAGUUUCAUUAUGAAGUAAUAAAGUUAAAAAUACUCUCCAACUUGGGGGCUUCUUCAUUAAACAACAAUUUUGUCAUCCUGUUGCGACCUUAUGAGCCGACAGACUCAUCAUCUUAGGGUGNCGACCUUAUGAGCCGACAAAAUUACUGUUUUUAUUUUCCUUCAUGGCAUGGCCAUGAGGGUUUCAAAAUCUUUUUCCUAAUUUAUCUUGAAAAUGUUUGUUAUCAAUUAUUUGGUUUCACGUAUGUUGUUUUCGAAACCUAAGUCAGGUUGAUGAUCAAAGUCACUUCAUCCAUGGCGGAUUAAGCAUUUUAAAGGAUUCUCAAAUGGCGGAUCAAAUAUUUCAAAUCGCCUUAAGGGCGACGUAAAGAUUCUUUCGAGAGUAUCACAAAAGCAGUACCGACUUAUGAAAAAGACCUAUUACAUGGCUCUUAGGCAAAAUCAAUGAAGUUUAUUCUGUUGGCGCCUUCGGAUCAUUUUGCUGCGAGCUUUGGCCGACCUCAAUUUGCAAGUCGCCCAGUACCCAGUUACACUUGGCCAGAGCUGCGAAGUCAUCUUCAUCGGUCAGGAUUGAUGCCAGAUCUGCUUCCAAGUCAAAAGGGUUCUUGGGUCGCCGAGGAGUUAAACUGGUCGUCACAAAGGUUGGCAGGCUGACCUUCUUGUUCUUGCUGUCAUAGGCAGCCUGAUACUUUGAUAAUUCUAGACUUGCUGCGAGUUGGGUUGCCGCCAGCCGGGAGUCCUUGACAACACGUUGAUAAUCCUCUUAGACGAAUUCUAACCCAUCAUCUUUGAGUUGAGGAAAGCCUGCCGCUACCUCUUCCGGGUUGAUCUCUGGAGCAUACGCCAAACAACGACUCAAGGCAGUCAGAAUCCCCUUCCGAGCGGCUGACCGAGUUAACUCGCCAAUCUGAGGGGGAAGCGUGGAUAGGCAGCCAAGCAUCUUGUUUAUGGAAGUUAUAGGCUCUUUGGCACCCAUCACAACUUUGACAGUUAAAACACUGCCGGUGUAUAGUUGCUCUGUCAGCGUGUAAAUCGCCUUCAGCAUCAGCACGCAAUCAUCCUGAAGGUUGGCGGCUCUCGGACCUGUGUAAGGGGUCAUGAUAAAUCGACGAUUUACAAUAAGAGUUAUUGAUGAAAAAAGGGAGAAAAAGAUCAAAAGUUUGAGUAAGUUUACCAAAGAUGGCUUGCGUCAUGUUUGAGAUAUGACGCUUCAAGCCGGACAAUUCUUGUUGCACAGUAGCCAGCCUGGCUUCAGCCUUCUCUGCUCUUUUUGUGGCAGCAUCUUGGUCAGCUUGAGCUCUUUUCAAAUCGGCUUUGAGUUUUCUAGCUCAACCAUGACCAAUUGAUACCUCUCCUCCGACUUAGCUUGGGCAUCUUGCUGACCAGAUAAGUUUUCCUUUAAAUCGUCAAGCGCCGAUUCAGUUUGAGCAAGAGUUUCCUGUUGAAAGUACAAAAUAAGGGGCAAGUCUCAGAACUAUUGCAAGCAAUAUCCCUGACACUUGGGGGCUAAUGUAUAAUUUUUUCUUUUCAGAUGAAAUUAUACAAUAUCAAGACCCGGCUCAUCUUUUUACUGAUGACCCAACCCUUGGGGGUUACUGGUCGAAAGUUUUUUCUAAAUUUAUCAAGACCCGGCUCAUCUUUUUACUGAUGACCCGGCCCUUGGGGGUUACUGGUCGAAAGUUUUUUCUAAAUUUAUCAAGACCCGGCUCAUCUUUUUACUGAUGACCCGACCCUUGGGGGUUACUGGUCGAAAGUUUUUUCUAAAUUUAUCAAGACCCGUCUCAUCUUUUUACUGAUGACCCGGCCCUUGGGGGUUAAUGGGAGUAAUACAAUAUAACAAAGCUUACCUCAUGUUUGUUUUUUAGCAUCCGCAGCAGGCUUUUCUCCAUCUCAUAACUCGCCUCCAGGCGACUUGCAAAACCAGAGCAGAGUUCCUUGAACUCCAGAUUUUCAUAUUCAGAAAGCCUAGCCUUGGAGAGUCCAGACUCAGGAAUGGUUUGAGAGGAGGAUGCCACAUGCUUUGACAAAACCGUUGCCGCCGGUUUGGAGAAGCCGGUACCAGUAAUAACUACAGCAUCCGGGUCUUCUGCUGUCAUCAAUGGAUUUGGCGGCUUAGGGGCAUCCAUUGUUUCCUUGGGCGAGUUUGGAAGAUCCAUUUGAUUUUCGGGCUCGCCUUGAUCCGGGUUAUCUUGGAUCUGCACUGGCUCUUUGAUGGGCUCUGAAAUUAUGACAAGAGUUGGUCCGCUGGUUUUCCUUUUCUUGGCCUGUGCCCUAAAGGAGGGGAGAAGCGCAUUAAAGAACUGAAAGUUUAUUACCUUCAGAUUCAAAGUAAGAUUAUCAAAAGACUUACCCAGGGACUCGAAUCACUGGCGGAAGUGUCGACAUCACUGAGUCGCCAGAUGUAGGAGGAGAGUUCUGCAAGAAUUAUACGUCAAAAAUAUAGGCGGGUUACAAACAUGAUCCAAAGAAACAUGAAGAAUUGUUAUUCAUGAGUACCUCAUUUGUUUUCCUCUUGUUUGUUGGUGGUAAGCCGGACACCAGAUCACCGGAAUGACUUCGGGUCUUCCGAUUUGAAGUAUGUUGUGCUUUCUUCAGUAGGAAAUUUGGGUCCAAACAAGCAUUUGGGUGUGAGAAGGGAACUUUCCCACAAAUUCGCCUGGCCGGCUUAGGCGGAGAAGGAGAUGAAUCGGAGGAAACAGAAAUUACCUCAACAGAGUCCUCCUGGCUUUCGUUGUCUUCAUUCUAUUCAAGAGAAGCAGAGAUAUAAAUACCAAAGUUAACAGUAGUGGAUGGCGAGUGAAAAGAGGAUAGGUUUUUACCUCUGAAAGUGCAUCGCUGACUUGAGACUCAUCGACUUUGGAUGGCUGAGCCGCAACAGCUUUUCCCUUGCCCUUGGUUUUCUUUGGGGGCGGCCUAGCCUGCUUCAUGGCUGGCCUUUUGGGUUUCUUGGACCAAAAUUUAUCACCUUUCUGAAAUAGCAUAUGUUACAAAGGCCACGAUACAAGUGAAACAUAAGAAGUAAAGACAAAAAGCGGGUUAGAUUUGCUCACCUUGGGCGCCGGAUUAAUUUUGCAGAAAGGCUUGAGGCCGAUUUGGCCGCAUUUUCCCGCAGGUUCGCCAGUCAACUUCUUGAUGAUGGUGACAAUAUCCUUUUCUGUUAAAGCCGUGUGGAAAUAACAUUGGGGAUGAUCUAAGGUGCCAUCAAAUUCGCACAUUAGCCCGUCCCAGCGACUCAGAGGGAGGAUGCGCCAUUCGACCCAGCAGCGGAUCAAGUCAACCCCAGUAAGGCCGUUGUUUGUCAGAGAUCUUAACUCGGACAAUACUGGGAUGAAGUCUGAUUCCUCCUCGGUGAGUUUGUCUGGAAGCUUGAAGUUUGUUGGAAGGCGAUCUUUCCUAUAGCCCAGAAGCUUGUUUUCUCCCGCAGGUGAGGUCUCUUGACAAUAGAACCAAGACUCGCCCCAACCUUUGGGAUGGCUUGACAUGGCGAGUGAGGGAAACGGGCUAUCCCUGCGGUGCUGAACAUUGACACCGCCGAGUUCCUAGCUGGGGCCAUUGUGAAAUUCCGUUUGGCGAUUCAGGUGGAAAAAGUACCAGAAUAAGGGGACCGAGGGUUCAAUCCGCAGAUAAGCUUCACAUAACACUUGGAAUUGGCAUAGGUUACUUAUCGAGUUGGGUCCCAGAUCUUGGAGGCGGACGUUCAUGAAAGCCAUGGCGUCUCUAAGAAACUUCGAUCCGGGCGGCUUAAAACCUUGCUCCAGGUGUUCAACAAAAACGAUUAUCUCCCCUUCUUUAGGGUUGGGGAGAUCCUCUCCGAGCCCGGUACGCCAACCGAUAACAUUCUGAGGGUCCAAGUUGCCCGUUUUCACAUAGUCAGCUAGUAUGGUGUCGUCGACUUUGGUGGGAAGCCAGUCACUUUUGAAGACGGUGCCCAUGCUACAAAGAAUUAAAGUUCGGAUGAAUUUACGCGCCUCGAACAUCUACUGUAAAAGGUGAAAUAAGUUCAUUUGACUCGCCAAAUAAAUUUGUUUGCGGACUGAAGGGAAAACCUUGACCCGCCAUGUUAAGGGCCGAGUUGGGUUGCUAUGGCGACUUACGAAGAUUUGCUAUUCACGAGAGCUGCGUUCUAAAGGUGUCGGAAACAUUCGUUCAAAACGGCAAAGUGUGAAGACUACAAACAACUUUUUGCAAUCAGUAGGGAAAUUAUGGAUCUACUGGACAUGUGAAAAAACAUGAGAAAAAUGGGUGGAUGCCGCAAUUUACUACCAGGGCAAGGCGAUGUCCUCCGCUUGACAAAACAUUACUCUGAAUUCGCAAGUGGGAGCGGAUAAAUGAAGGUAUACAAAGCAUUGGCUAUCUUGUAGGCGUUUGUGUUAAUUAAUCAAGGACAGGCGACGAAUGCUCGCAAAGAACAUCAAGAACAUGGCAGUGUUGGAGCUUUGAACAAAGAGUAGAUCUGUUUUUAAAUGGGCGGUGGCCUAACUUGAUGCUUUCAGACGGAAGUAGUCGACAGCAACGGAGGUUGUUGGAGAAGCGCGGAGGUCCGGUCGAGCAAGGAGAUCCUCGGCGGCGACGGAGUUUUCGGCGGGUGGCGAGGUGUUCGACGACGACGCAGUGGUCAAAUGGCGGCGAAUGGGGCGGCCGCGACACGGAGCUUGACGACGGCGAAAAUCUGUAGGGCGGCGCCGAAGCCUCUUGGGCGAAGACGGGAAGUACGGACAGCGGCGGAGCCCUCGGGAGGCGAUGAGACUUCCUCGCUGUGAUAAUGGGGAGGAGGUUGACGAGACUGGUAGGUGGGAAGCGCCAGUCUUGUCCCCUCCCAUCUAUUUAACAGGGCGGGCGCUAGAAUCGAGGCGCCGUGAGCGGGAACCGCUGGGGAAUAAAAAGAUUCGCCAUAAUGGCGUUCCGAAAGUUUUGGGAUAACGAUGCACCAGGAUCCGUUGGAAUUAUGUCAGUCUUCCCGGAAUUCGAGGGAUAAGAAGAUGCCGACGAGAAAUGGUUUGGCGACUUAAAAAUUUUCAGUGCCAGAUGGCGGGUCACAAUUUCUGACGUAUGGAGUAAAAUUAGGAAUGAAUCGCCUUUAACUAAGCAGAAAUAUUAGCGUGAAAAGAAUUCAAGUCAAUCUGGGGCCUAAUGUUGGGGAUAUUACGUGUUAAUAACCCGCCCUAGUUGGCCCGGGUCACCAAAUCAGGCGAUUCACCUAAACAAUGAUUUGGGCCUUGGCGUUAUCAGCACGAAGGUCCUAUGGUGGUUUAUGAUUUCUGGAAAGUCUCCAAGCUUUGAAGGACGGUGACUUAGAGACCACAGGGGUCACGAUUUGUAGAAAGGAAAGUAUCCUUGUAAACCCUAAGGGUUCGACCUGUAUAUAAAGGCGAGCCCUAGGGAAGAAGAGGGGCAGGUUAGAAUUCAUCGAGUGCUAGGUCUGGUGAUUUAUGCCCUCCUUGUAAUCGAAACCACAUCUAUACAAACCAAAGCAGGACGUAAGCCUUUACCUCCUCACGAGGGGAUGAACCUGGGUAAAUCGCCGUGUUUCUCCCGCUUAACCCCUUUGAGUCGCCACCAAGGUGCGAUGGCUCCAGUACUAAGUCCUUUCACGAGGACAUCUGCUGUGACAAAACCACGACACCAUGGAUCCUUAUAUACAAAACAUACUUGGCCAACUAAGGCCAUGCAGUCCAAUGUUUUUGGGAUAGUGUUCAAGCAGGAGGCCAUGAAUCUGUGUAGUCUCACUAUGGGGGGGGUGAGUUUAUAUCAUUGCUCUUUCUUGGUUUAAACCAAUCACUGAGGUUUAUGUCUAUCAAACCAAGAUCUUGUACCCAAUGUUUGGGACAUCAACGUCCCUCUCAAGCCGUAAUCAGGAUUUGAUCUACCAUGAAGUUUUAGCGCCACAUAUGAUCCAUGACAUGUUAUCUGUCGGUGCAACAACUUUGAGUUGUCAAAAAAAGCCACGAGCUUAAGUAAUUCCUCAGUUUAGUAUAGGGGUGUCGAGGGAGAGCUGCUGAAGGGAAGGUGAGCGAACCCACACGAGUGAAAACCCUACUUUAUUAGUCAUCAAUGCGAUUUCUCGCACUUUUUGAUACCUCCGAGGGGGUACACUUUAAAGGCAUGCAAAACACACCUUACAAUCAUGUUGGACGAGGCUAGGCGGUGAAUGCAACGCUGGGAAAUUUUUUCCCAGUUCGAGAGGUUGAGCGAGCCAACCAAUUCGAUGUUUUGAAUGGUCAAAGAAGAGGUGUUUACUCCUCUUACCAAUCGAGGUUUCGCACAACUUUUUGACUAGGGCUUAAAAAAGGUUGUAGUUUCACAAGGAGCCCAUAAAUUGACUUGGUUUACUUAUGGGAUGUGAAUAUUGGCUCUGUACCUGACACAUAUUAAUUUAAGAAUGAUGAUGAAAUAAAUCAAUUUAUGAGAGACCAUAUUUCUGUUGUUUCGGUACAACUCAUGAUCAGUUAAGGAAAUAGGGAAUAACAAUAUUGAAAAGAAUAGAAAUAGCAUGACCCUUGAUUGGGACUUCUUUCUUCUAUUUCUGUAGAGAUGACCAGGAAGCAAAUGAGAAAGGGACUUCUUUCUUCUAUUUCUAUUGAGACGACCAGGAAGCAAAUGAGAAAGGGACUUCUUUUUUACUAGAGUCAAACUAUGAUCAAACUCUCGAAUCUUACUUCCGUGUGAAAGAACGUCCUAUGCAUGAGUACAAAUGUGUUGAGGCAUUCUUAGUGCCGUAGACGAAUGCUUCUUGGUGAAAUAAAUGGUACGACACGACCUCUUUUUUCUCCAUAAACGAAUUUGAAAAAGGAAGAAGGAUUUAGCUCCCUUAGAUUGUCUUGGGUCGAAGAUCAAGCGUGAACUUCUCCCUCAUCUAAGGUUGGGUUGUGGAUAACAGACUUCCCCUUGGAUCAAAUCUUCCAUUGGAGAUAAUUGCAGGGCACUAAAGAAGUAUAACACAAUCCAUGGGCGAUAUCAGUGUAGUGACAGUCCUUACUAUUGGAGAUAAUUGCAGGGCACUACCACACUUGGGCACCAUGUUACGGAUAGGUACCAAUAGUCAUUUUGUUUGCGUGUCAGUACCGUUUCAUAGCCUAAUUGUUGCAAUACGGUCUGACAACUGUAUAAACUCAUAUUGAUGUAGCAUCUGAUGUACCGGGCCCGCAUGUCAGUCGGCACGGUGGCGUACACGUACCGGUCAGUCACUUGGUCUCGCUCGAACCGGAACAACCCUAGAACCCUAGCCUUGCUCUCCCCUCUCCCUCUCUGCGCGUCCCUCCGACGAUGGCAGCGGCGACUCCCGACGACGGUGACGUUGCGGGCGGCUACGGAGACCUCCCCGGCCUCGGGGUAGAUGACCACGUAGGUCUGGCUGUGGACGAUGGCAGCUCCAGUUCGAACCACUCCUCCGGUGUUGGUUUGGAGGAUGAGGAUUUGGAGGAGGAGGCGUCCCUGUCCAUGUAGGACAGGGUGAAGAUGGCAGAGAUCUGGGUCGCCAACCCUAGCAGUAGCCAUCACUGGACCAGUGGUGCUGGUGGCGGCUUGAUGUAAGUCACUGAAGAACCCUAGCCUUUCCAUUUUGUUGUUUCAAUGCUAGAGGCUAGUUGUUUCUUUCUUUUGGGUUGCUCCUGGACUCGAUAUUAUUAGGAUCAUGUUCAUAUUAGAGUCUUCAAUCUUGUUACUGUAAUUCUAAAAUGUCAUACUUGUCAAUUAGAGGCUGUGUGUUGCUCCUGUGCAAUUCAAAAUUCAUAGUAGAGGCUUUGGUAUUGUGUUGUUGAUAAGAAUUAUGAUAGUUUGACUGAUGAAGACAACACGUAAUAUUAUAGUUUGACUAAUGAGCUUGCUUAUCUGAAUUUAUAUGCUUAUCUGCUUAUCUGAAUUUAUAUGUUUGAACUGUAGUUUGAAUGAUGAUGCUUGGGAACUUCAGAUUCACUUUGAUUCUCAGCCAAAUAUUGAUAUGAAGCUAUGUAGCUCAGAUGUUACAUUUCUAAACCUGUAUGCAGUGUUGCAAACACAAGGUUUUUAUUUCUCUGAUGAGUUAUACCACAUGAGGAAUUUAGGAAUAGGAGAGAAGAGAGAGCAGGGCUUAGAAUUUAUUGACACAAACAUCAAACUGCAGCAACUAAAAAAAGGAAUAUAAACACAAUUUAGUUCUAAAUUUGCUAGUGAGGGCAACAACAACUUAUUUAGCAGCAUGUGCAGCAACUGAAGAGAGAACAAAUUUAAGUAAUAGAGAGGAUAAGUUAGCAGCAAUAGUUUAUGAAUCACCUGUUCUGUGUGAUCUUAGUGAGCCUGCAAUUCUUGCUGUUGAUCCAGAAGGUGUUGUUUUCCAUAGCAGCCCUAGUCAACCUACUGCCUUUUGCACCCAAGAGAGCAUAAACUUCAGAUAGGACAAUCUGAAAGUUAUAAUGGAGGAAGAGUCAUUGUUUGAACAAGCACAUAAUAGUAGUGAUGAAACUGAGGAUGCAUAUGACAGUGAUAACAAUUCAGAUAACAACUCAUAAUUAGGAGAGGAAGAAGAGGUAGAUCAAUCUGAAGAUUCAGAUGAAAAUUCAGAUGAGGAACAAUUACAUUAUGAGGGUGACACUGAUGUUGAGGAUUUGUUUGAGCAGGAAGAUGAGGAUGUCAAUGUUUUUGCAAGAGAAGAGCCUCCAAUGCAAAAACCUGCAAAAAGGAGGAAGAAACUUGAAGUUAGGAAAGGCCCCACUACUAGGUCACAUUGUAGUGUGUUAGAGGAGGUGAUACCUGAUUUCAUUCCUUCAGCAGAUGAAGAAGAUGAUUGGUUGUUGUUUGAGGAUGAAGAUGAUGGACAUGAGCCACCCUCAUUUGUGCUACCUAAAGGGAGGAAGAGUAGGGCCAAGAAAAGGAAACCAAGGAUCUGGUACAAUGACAAACUUGAGCAACCACAUCAACAGUUAUGUCUGUACAUGUGCUUUAAGGAUCAACAUCAAUUCAGAGAAGCUUUGUUGAGCUUGCACAUCACACAGGCCAGAGACUUUAGGUAUCACAGAAACUCAGACAAAAGGAUCAUUGCUUGUUGUAAGCAAGAUCAUUGCCAGUUUUGCAUUGUUGCUGCAGUUAUCAAAGGGGAGAAUACCUUUGGUAUUAAGAAAAUGAGGCUGGAGCACACUUGCCCUACCAACACAGAGAAAUCAAGAAUUAGUGCAAAGUGGCUUGCAAAGACCUAUGAGUCAUUGUUCAGGUCUGAUCCCACCACUAGCAUAUACACUUUGAUGGAUAUCUGUAGGGAGAAUUAUGGUGUUGAUGUGGGAAGGCACAUGGCCUAUAGGGCCAAAAACCUUGCUGUAGAAGCUGUGCUAGGAGAGCACAAGAAGCAGUAUCCCAGACUUAGGGAUUAUGCUCAGACCAUCAUGGAUACAAACCCUGGUAGUAGCGUUGUAGUCACAACAAUUACUUCUAAACCUACUACAAAUACACCACAUCCAGCACCAAGGUGUCAUGCUAUGUUCUUCUGCAUUAAUGGAGCAAGGAGGGAUUUCUGAAUGGAUGCAGACCAUUCAUUGAUUAGUCAUUCUUUUAUUGUGCAUGAGUAAUUUUAAUUGUUUAGCAAUGCUUUAUAGAGACUUAAAUUGUUCUUUGCUUUCCAUCAACAGUUGUUGAUGGAUGCUUCAUUAAGCUGACCACUGGUGCUCAAAUCCUUGGUGCCACUGGAAGAGAUGGCAAUUACAAUAUUUUCCCACUUGCAUUUGCUAUAGUUGGACAAGAGGACACAGCUAACUGGUGUUGGUUUCUGCACCAAUUGAAGAUAUGUCUAGGAGGUGAAAUUGGGAAAUUUGGUCCUUAUACUAUCAUGUCUGAUAGACAGAAGGUAUGUGCUUUGCAAGUAAAUAAAAUUUAGCAUUUGUAUUAAGUUCUGCAUUUGUAGUUGUAUAGUAUCUAAGUUUAGCAUGCUAUGUGAUCAGGGGCUGCUAAAUGCAGUAAAUCAAGUUUUCCCAAACUACCAUCAAAGAUACCUUAGACACCUCUAUGCAAAUUUCCAGAAUGCUGGUUUUAGGGGGGAAGAUUUUAAGAAAUGCAUGGAUAAUGCCAGCUAUGCUUACAACCAACACAAGUUUAACAUUGCCAUGAAUGAUCUAAAAAAUGAGAGUGAGGAAGCUUGGAAGUGUGUGAGUGGAAUUCCUAAGAACACAUGGGCUAGGCAUGCUUUUGACACUAACUGCAAGACAGACUUGGUUGUUAACAACCUGUUUGAGGUGUUCAACAAUUACAUGCUAGAUUUUAGGAAAAACCUAUUAGGACUAUGAUUGAUGGUAUUAAGGACAAGCAGAUGGUGAGGUGGCAUAGGAAUAGAGAGAAAGGAAAGGCAACUCUGUGCGAGAUUACACCACAUUAUGCUGAGAAGCUAGAGGUGGAAAAGGCAAGGGCUAGAUUCUGCAAACCUAUCCAAGCUGGUGUUAGUCUAUGGCAAGUGAGUAGUGGGCAGCAAACACAUGUCGUAAACUUGGAACUUCAUACAUGUGGCUGCAGAGAGUGGGACCUGUCUGGCAUACCUUGCAACCAUGCAAUAUCAACAAUUAAGAAGGCAAAAAUAUUUCCAUAGGAAUAUGUGUCCAAAUUCUUUAAAAGACCUUUCUACCUUGCUUCUUUUGAGCCAAUGAUAUAUCCUGUUCCUGGUGAACAUGAUUGGACAAGGACAAGUGGACCAGACAUAGAGCCACCCACAUUUCAUGUGAAGAGGGGAAGAAAGAAAGAGAAGAGAAUAAAGGGAAAAAUUUGAGGUUCCAAAACCAAAGGACAGUUCAAGAAUGGCCACUAUAACAUGCAACAACUGUGGGCUCCAAGGCCACAGAUACACCAACUGCAAACAACAGUUGAGACCAGAGUUGGCUCUGAGGAAAAACAAGCAUGUGGUAAACCAUUUUCUCAUUAUGUGCUUUGCAACUAUUAUGUUCAUGUUUUAAAUCCUUUUGUGUUCAUUUGCUUUGCAACUAUUAUGUUCAUGUGUUAAAUCCAUUUGUGUUUACAGCCUAAAACUUCAACAUUGCAUCCUCCAACUGCAAGAUCACAACCUCCAGCUGCAAGACAAAGGAGUGAAGCAAGAUCACAACCUCCAACUGCAAGACCGAGGAGGGAAGCAAGAUCACAUCCUCCCCCUGCAAGAUCUACCAGAAGAUCAACAAGUAGUGCCAGUGUUCAUAGGCCUUUCACUACCCCAAGAUUUGCUGCUGGAGGUUCAUCAUCUGUUGAUGUAGGUUCAUCAUCUACUCCUGCCCCAAGAUUUGCUGCUGGAGGUUCAUCAUCUGCUCCUGGACGUUCAUCACCUGCUCCUACACCAACAAACCAUUCUGGCUGGAUGACAUUUUUUACUGCCAGUGGUAACCAUGACUAAUGAUGAUGUGUACUAAGUGAUCAUUUCUAAGUUCUAUGAUGCGUAUUAAGUGACUUAUUGUGUACUAAGUGAUGUGUGCUAAGUGAUCAGUACUUAGUGAAUUUUCUGGUUGUAUGAUCAGUAGUAAGUGAUGGUCAUGGUUCUGAUGUAUGUUAUGUGUUCAUCAUCUGUUUAUGUGUUUUGGGUUCAAAAAUAAGAAUGUCUGAGGUGCUUGAUGGUCAUCGUUCUGAUGUAUGUUAUGUGUUCAUCAUCUAUUUUAUGUGUUUUGGGUUCAAAAAUAAGAAUGCCUGAGGUGCUUGAUGGUCAUGGUUCUGAUGUAUGUUAUGUGUUCAUCAUCUGUUUAUGUGUUUUGGGUUUAUAAAUAAGAAUGCCUGAGGUGCUUGAUGGUCAUGGUUCUGAUGUGUGUUAUAUAUGCUCUCUUUAGUUAGGAAAUUAAGAGAUAGCACAUUUGUGGUCUGCUACAAACAAGACAAGGAUGAAGAGCUAAAAUGGUGAUUAUUUGAGCAAUGGAUUUCUUCAGAGCAAGUCACUAAAAAACAGAUCAAGUCACUUAAACACAUACCCAUCUAUCAAUGCAACAAAUAAGAAGAUAUUUCACAUAAUACAAAAUACUUGGGUUGAACACAGAUCAAGUCACUUAAACAUACAUAAUUCAGAGAUUCUUACAUUACAACAUUGGUACAAACCUACUCAGUUAUCAAGUUACAACCAUAGCAUAGUGGAGUUCAACCUGCAUUAAAGAACAACAAUUCAAAAAAGGGCAGCACAUCAACCAUAGCAUAGUGGAGUUCAUCUUCAUCUGAUCAGCAAUCCAGCUUCAGCUCAUCCAUCCAAAAUGUCCCUGAUCAUCUUCAACUUCUCUUGGUUCUUCUCCAGCGCCAUCAACUGAUCAGCAAUCUGGAGCUUCAGCUCAUCCCCGCGUUUAAUGAGAUUCUCAAUUCCUUUCUUCAGACCAUCAAUGUGAAUGUUGAGCACCACAAUGUCAUCAUUAAGUUUUUCCUCAGAAUUGGUCAGUUUAUCAACCUGAACCUUUAAAUUGUAGUUCUCUUCACUUAGCUUCUCCUUCUCCUUCAAAUGAUUAGCCUUCUGGGUCCUAAUGACCCUGCCUUGAGCUUCUGCAAGGUUCAUAAGCACUGAAUAUUUUCCUUUAAAUUCCAUUAUCUCUGCCUCUUUCUUCUCAAUCUCAGUCUUCAUGACAGCCACAACAUCACUAGAGCUCUCUGCACCAUGGGCAUUCAUCUUAUCCUUCAAAUAGCUCAAAUCCAUGACCCUCUCUUCCUGGGCAUUGAAUAGUUGAUUCACAUCUUCUACUAGUUUGUCAUAGUUUGCAUCAAGAUUUCUUUUCUCUUCUGUCAGUUGGUGAUUUUUCAGUGAAUUCUCCAAAUUAUCAUCCCUCCUAGCACUCUUGUUGUCUUCCAACAUUUCCCAAAGUUUCAACAAUGCAUUUUGCAUUGUGUGAGGCCACUCUGGGUCUACCCACCCAACAAAACCACAGUUUUGAGGUUGCUGCAAUACAAAAAACAUAUAUUAUAUUACUCCGUAAAGAACACCAAUUAAAAUGUCACCACCUACAUAAAUAAAAACUAAUACUAUCAUUUAGUACUAAUCAGUAGUAAUGAUUCACUUAGUUAAAAUGCCAACACCUACAUAAAAAAAGCAUAAGUACUGACCACUACUUGUAAGAAAAUAGCAGCAAUUGUAACUAAGCUGCAUCUUUAGCAAUACAUCAAUAAAAAAAUAGCAGCACUUGUAACUAAGCUGGAACUAAUCUGAGAGCACUUUAACUAAGUUGCAUCUUUACUAGUAAACAAUGACUAAGCCUGAAUCUUUAGUAGUAGCUAAGCUCCAUCUUUAGUAGUAAACAAUCUGAGAGCACUUGCCCAUUUGUAAUAAACAAUGAGAGUGAUGGGAUCAGGAACAAUGACAGUCUGCAGCAGAAGUGUCCAAGGCACAUUUUAGCCUGCAUCUAAAAAUAGGGCUGUCCAAGGCACAUUGUUUAACUAAGCUAGGAGGGAUCUAAAGAACCAACCAAAAACAAUUAGCUAAGCUGCAUUUUGAAGAUUCUAUAUUGGGUACAUAAACAAUUAGCUAAUCUAACUAAGCUGCAUCUAACUAAGCUGCAUCUUACCGGCUGAGCACACACUAAAAACCUCCUGCCUGUCUCAAAUCCUUCGAAUGCUACGCGACGCUCAGGCGGCAUCCGAUGCUCCGAGCAAACAUCCAGGGCAGAAUUUUCGAUGCCCAUGUAGUCUUCGUCGUCGAUGCUAGCACGGAUCUAAAGAACCAACCAAAAAUCAGAGAGAAAUCCCCAAUGUGAAGAAACAGAAACCCUAACCCUAACCCUAUCUCUACAACUUACCCAAUACAUCAUGCCGUUGGAGGAAGAGCUGAUGUCUAGGCUCGACAUGUCGUUGCUACUUUCAUCCUCAUAAACCAUGGCGCGGCGGAGGUGGUGGCGGCCGAUGAGGUUCGGCGACGACAGGGGCAGAGUCAACGGAGUGCGAGGAGAGAAGAAGGGGGAAAGGAGGCGACUCGCUCGGCCGACUGGGUCCGAGCCAGACACAAAGACCGACCGAACCGGUUCAUGCCAACUGACACGCGGGCCCGGUACGUCAGAUACUGCGUCAAUACGAGUUUAUACACUGUCAGAUCGUAUUGCAACAAUUAGGCUAUGAAAGGUAGUGAAACGCAAAAAAAUGACUAUUGGUACCUAUCCGUCACAUGGUGCCCAAGUGUGGUAGUGCCCUGCAAUUAUCUCUUACUAUUGAGUCAUGUGCUGGUAAGAUGACAACACUCUAAAAGAUUUGUUUAAGAAAGCAAUCAUAUCCCGUCCCCAAGUGAGGUAUGAACCCCAAAGAGUUAUAUAGGUAGGAAAAUGGGAAGAAUUGAGGCACCUACAUAAGUAAUGGGUCAACUUAUGAUUCUAGGCACGGUUACUGGAGGAAUCGUUCCUACCUAUCUGUGCAAGAUCGGAUCAAUAUGGUUUUGAGAGGAAGGCUGGUGGCAUAUGAAGAGAGGGAGUCAGAACAUGUGCAUUCCCUUUCUUUGAUUGGGAGAAUGAUAAAGCAGAAAAAAGACUUGACUGAAAUUCUAUUCGCUUUUUCCUUCCCGAGAUAUGGAAUGCCAUUAAAUUAAGUAGAUGAGAUGCCAAAUAUAGGCAUGAGUUAUUUCGCCAUGCAAAGCUUUGUGUUCUGAAGGUAAAGAAAGAUGGUAAAGCCCAUUAAAAAGGGUGCCACACAGAAGCACCUCCUAUGUUCUCGAUCCAAACUCGAUACAUCUUUCUUUCUAUAAAAAAUGAGUUCGACCUUUUUUUUCAAAAUAGAAACAGAAAACAAAUUUAGGAAUAGUGCGGGUGCGACGAAACGAAUCAAGUGAAACAAGUCCCCCUUAUGACAUUUUUUCAUCCAAGCAAGGGCGCGUUGCAUGGGAUUCAUCAACAAAGGGAGAUGGAUAAGGGGCUACACGUCCAAGACAACCUUUCAUCUCUGUGUGCCAUGGAACCCCCAUCUUCCAAUACCUCUUAGAGAGAUCGUUGACACACUUGCCUUAUUUUGAGGAGACUUCCAAGCUAAAACAAGACAAUGGGUAGUCACGAGAUCUUAUUUAUGGAGGUGGGAUCGGGGACCUCCCGAGCAAGAUUGCUAUACAGAAUGCUUGCGUACAGUGGCAACACACACUUCUUUGUGACCUCCAAAAGCUCCCUAUGACCCUUUUGUACGGAGCAUUCAAAGUUCCUCAUGCUGUCAAGCAAGACUUUGAUCUUGAUUUGGGAGAGAAAACACAACUUCGUCAUCCAACCAAGUAUCUUUAUUGAAUUUUGACCCUAUCUAGCGCUUAAAAAUCUUUCUUAUUUCUCUAUCACUAGAUUCCGGUUAAAACGCUUGAUCCACCCAUGCUUUUCCUCUCCAUUUUUCAUAUGGAAAAGGAAAGCAAUGCCAACUUAUUGGAAUUCUACAUGGCAUAUUUCCCAACCUUCAUUCCUGCUAUUCCAUGCUCUAGUGCUCAGUCAUAAACCUAUCGCCCGCUCCGCUUUCCCAUUCUGAUUGCUUUUGGUAUAUGAAUCUUCCUGAAUUCAAGUAGAGAAUACUAGGGCUUUCUUCUUCUUUAAUUUUCCUUGGGGCAGAUGAUAAAAAAUGGAUUUCUGACAUAUCACCGGAGACAUUAGGAUUCUAAGAUUUAGGAGGGGAAGGCUGAGGAGAGGGAUCACAUGCAUUGAAGCAAUCUCAAGAUUCAGAAACGAUCAAAAUAAUGGUACGAGGAGAAGAAAGAGAGGAGAGUCAUGAAAAUAGGGUAGACGCAAGGAGACGAUGAAAAGCAAUCAGAGAUGAGACAGAAGAAUGACAAUGGAAAUCAUGAAGCUUAGCGAGAGCACAUUACUAUGAAUAAUAAUGGAGAGGAACAUUAAAGGGGAAACCUAAGCAAAGAGAUAUAUAAAUAUAUUAGACACUUCUACUUUGUUUUAUUAAAGGGGAAAACCGAGCAAAGAGAUAUAUAAAUAUAGCAGACACUUCUACUUUGUUUUCUUGUUUAGAUUCAUUACUCCAAUGACUGAACAAGGGCAGAUACCUAUAAGGACCCCAUUUCAUUGACCUUCACCCUUUUAUAUCCCUCGUUAAGGUAUGUUAUCCGGACCAACUCCCAUAUAGAAAACCAAGAGUAGUGAGUUACAAAACCAAGAGCAGUUAGAAUUGUCUAGCUGCGUGCCCCUUUUUCUGACUAGCUUCUUGUGAAAAGCAUUUCAAGCACGAGCACGCCCGAUGAACUUAGAAACCAUGGAAUCAAUCAACCCAUCACACUCGAGUGCUCUACUCUCCAAGCUAUGCGCAUGUGUUUUUACAUUAAAACCCCAAACGAUUUUAUGCUAUCAAAGUAGGUGGAUUGGUGUGUGGUGCUCACGAAACCUUGUAUUAGAUGGGAUCAAACAUAGGUCAUAGAUGAUCUCGAUCUUGAAGAAAACAUAACUAAUGUCAUUUUAAGAGCAAGGUGACACUAUGGAUUGAAGGUAGCCUUUUCUCCAUAUGGGAAAUCGAAACUUCAAUUGAUUGAGCACUAUAGGUUAAGUUGGUUGGUUAGUGUAUCACGACUGGGGACACGUGGCACUGACUCAUUCCUGUCCUUUUCAAAACCAAAUCAGAUAGGUUGUCUUAAAUAUCAUUUCUAUAGCGAUAAGGAGGAACUUUCUUACUAAGGCAACUCGUAGAUUUAAACGCAUUCAUCUUUCCUUUUUGUUGAGCAGCUCAGUCAAACCAAGCAAUGGACAAAGUUAGUGAAAAUGUGGCCAUGUAGGUGCUACAGGAAAGCAAGUUGAUAUUGCGAUCCAGAUCCAGCAAGAAGUAACGUUGCACUAUGACUCAACCCAAUUGGAAGAAGAAGCUUAUAUAUCCCAAUCCAUCGGGUCUAAGUCCUCUUUUAAUCAGAUUCAUAAACACCUAACAUAACAUCAUCCCACAAGGCCUUGUUGAGGAUGAUCUCCUAUGUGAAAUUCGAGAAAUUCCAUUCCAUUUAUACGAGAAGUGCCGAUCCUUUUUUAUAAUAAAAGGGGGUCUGAGGGUGUCCCAGCCGGUUUCCAUGGCCAGAAAAGCUAGCGGUUCGACUCUUGCUUGAGUUUGAUAGGUGAGAUAUUUUUAUAAAGACAUAAUGUUAGAGCAUAUUUCUCCAUAUGUGGUUUUGGUAAUUGAUGACAAUCCCUAUGGACUAAUGGUUGCAUUAAGUUAUAUUUGAAGGAUUUGUCCAUACGCACUUCUUGAAGUCCAUCUGUUGGUUUCAAGGAGUUUAUAUGAUGACCAAGGUGGUAUUCAAAGUAUUAUCCAAAGAUUGGUCAUAAAGACACAAGGUUGAUCAAGACUAAGCAGAGAGUAAAUCAAGAUGAUCAACACACAAAGUGUACAAGAUGUACCGAGAGGGAUCAAGUGAUCCCAAGGUAUGGUAAGCAUUGUCCAUAACGCUUUUGUGUACUAACCCAUGGUCUUCAUGAGAGUUCUAUGUGGGGUUAGGUGUGUUUCCAUGGGUUUGCGUCAAGAGGAAUAUCUCAUUCAACCUAUGAAGGACGACAUCAAGUGGUGAUUGUCAUCAAGAUUGUGGUGUGCAAGUUCAAGUGGAGCAUCACGAAGAUAUCAUGCUUGAAGCUUGCCGUCCAUUGUGGUGGCACUGGACUUGUGAAGAUGUGCUGAAGAGUGGCUCACCCAUAGUGAGUAAGCCAAGAUCAUCAUCAUCUAGCUCAAGAGGACUAGGUGCAAGGUAUAGGUUUGCCCUUGAUAGGUUUUUCUAUUGUAAGAUAGUUUGCCGUACUGUCAAGGGGGCUCUCAAUUGAGUAGCUUGAUCGUAUCAUUCAUUGAGAGCUCAAACCAUAUGCAUCCUUGCAUCAUAUCUUGGUUCUUGUUUGGUGUUUCUCUUUGUGAGUUUUAUAGCUUAUGUUCAUCUUCAUGACAAGCUCGAGUUCAUCGAAAACGGAGUCCAUAUGCAUCUUCUAUGAUGUUUACGAUGUUGGAAAUUUUUGCAGGUUCUUCAUUCAUAGAGGUCUCACAUCUCUAUAUCAUUGGCAUUUUCAUAACUGCACGUUCUUAAGAUUUCCAACAAGCUUGAGUUUGCUCGAUUCAGAGUUCGUAUGCGAAAGUUACGGCAGUUUCAGUGGCUAGCGGUAGUACCGCAGGUGCCAGUGGUAGUACCGCUCUUGGAGCGGUAGUAGUUAUUUACUAUCGCUCUCUGGGUGGUAGUAGUUUUUUACUGCCGUUCUGUCGGACUUUUUGCGCAUCCUUUUGCCCGGCCCUGAAACGAGCGUAAGCCGACCGUCCAAACAAAGCAUGAUAGGGGCUUUUGAUCUUGAUGACUUCAAACGUCAAUGACUCACUCCUAUAAUUAGACUCAUCAUCGAAAGCCACAUUCAACUUAAUCCGCCCAAAAGGGUAUGCUGACUUGCCCGGUACGAUUCCGUGAAAAACCGUGGUCGAGGGCAUCAAAUUCUCCUCCUUGAAGUUCAUCCUCCGGAAGGUGUCGUAGUACAGAAUAUUGAUGUUGCUGCCUCCAUCCAUCAGGACUUUGGAGAGGGUGUACCCUCCAACCCGAGGUGCCAUCACUAAUGAUAACUCACCGGGGUUAUCAAUCUGGGGCGGAUGAUCGGCCCUGCUCCAUGUCACAGGCUACUCAGACCAGUUUAAGUAUCGGGGAACUGCCGACUCAGUCAUACUGAUGGUCCUCUGCCUCACCUUCUUGUCUCUUUUGCAAGAGCUGUGGUAAAAACAUGGUACUGUCCACCAUUCAGCUGCUUGGGGUUGCUCUGGAAACCACCCUGGUUGUUUGGCUGCUGAAAUUCUCUCCUGUCGUUGUAUUGCUGACUGCCUUGGCCAGACGACUGUCCACCAUUAUUGUGCGAGCUGCCACGCCCUUGAGCCCCUGGGUUAGGAAAAUCACCGAACGAAGAAAUGCGUGACCCGCCCAAACCAAACUAAUCUUGCGGGGCACCUUCGCCACCUCCUUGAUGACCUGGGGACACCUAAAGGCGAAACUCCUGCAUCACAAAGCAAUUUUCCCAAGAAUGAGUAGAAGGGACACCUCGGGUACUGUGCUUGGGGCAAGGUCCCUUGAGCAUCUCCUCGUAAUUACAUGGCUUCUUCCCGGUGAAACCUCGAUCUUGGAAACCACCCUGAUUCGUGUUCCUGCAUUGAUUACGCGGUCCAGUAUUGGUGUUGGCAACAAAAUCAGAGGCGCCAUCCUGCUGCCUCCUUUUUCCGUGACCUCCAUGGUUAUUAUUACACCCAGAGUGUCGGUGGUGACCCUUGCCUCCUUCACUCCUUCUGGUUCCAUCGGCCUUCCCAUUAUCAAAACCUACGUCCUUCCUCCCAUCCGACUCAGCAUACUUGGUGAGGGUGUCCAUUAAUUUGCCCAUAUCCUGCACCUUUCGCUUGAGGCGGCCAAGCUUCAACACUAGAGGUUCGAAAUGACAGUUCUUUGUCCAGAACCAACACGGCCUGAGCCGCUGAAAUAUCGUCCGAGGAGUGGAUGAUUUCCGCGACCCGUCGGGUCCAAUGAUGGAUGGAUUCAUCUGCCCGCUGAACGCAAUGCUGGAGAUCCACAAUGGUCAUCGGACGCUUGCAAGCCCCGCGGAAAUUCUUGACAAAACGCUCCUUGAGUUCUGCGCAAGUGUUGAUGGAGUUUGGCGGUAGGUUCUUCAACCAUGUGCAAGCCGGCCCUUCCAACAUCAUGGUGAAGUAUUUGGCGCAGACUGCAUCACUGGCAUCAAGCAUGUCCAUGGCCAGCUCAUAACUUUCUACCCAUGCCCCCGACUCAAGAUUAGGAGUGUAGUUGGGCACCUCGCGGGGACCUUUGAAGUCUUUGGGCAUGCGCUCAUUGCGUAAGGUAGGUGAUAGGCAAGGGACUCCGAAGUUCCUACCUUGACCACUGAUACGUCCAUUUUGCAUCAUGCUUUCAUGUUGAUAUUUAUCGCUUUUUGGGCUGUUAUUUCACUUUAUGGUACAAUACUUAUGCCUUUUCUCUCUUAUUUUGCAAGGUUUACAUGAAGAGGGAGAAUGCCGGCAGCUGGAAUUCUGGCCUGAAAAAAGAGCAAGUUUGAGAUGCCUAUUCUGCGAAACUCCAAAGGCCGUGAAAGUCAACGUGAUUUUUUUUCGGGAUUUAUAAAAAAUACUGGGCCGAAGAAGUGCUAGAGGGGCGCCAGCAGGUGGCCACAAGCCUGCUAGGUGCGACCACCCCCUGGCCGCGCCUAGGGGGCUUGUGGGCUCCCUGCUGGCCCAUUGGCCCCCCUCUUUUUCUACAAGAAGGGUUUUGGUCUAAAAAAAAAAUCAAUAGGAGGCUUUUCGGAGGAUUCGCCGCCGCCACGAGGCGGAACUUGAGCAUAACCAAUCUAGAGCUCCGGCAGGACGAUCCUGCCGGGGAAACUUCCCUCCCGGAGGGGGAAAUCAUCGCCAUCGUCAUCACCAACUCUCCUCUCAUCGGAGGGGACUCGUCACCAUCAACAUCUUCAUCAGCACCAUCUCAUCUCCAAACCCUAGUUCAUCACUUGUAACCAAUCUCCAUCUCGCGACUCCGAUUGAUACUUGUAAGGUUGCUAGUAGUGUUAAUUACUCUUUGUAGUUCAUGCUAGUUGGAUUACUUGGUGGAAGAAUUUAUGUUCAGAUCUUUGAUUCUACUCAUUACCUCUCUGGUCAUGAAUAUGAUUAUGCUUUGUGAGUAGUUACUUUUUUUCCUGAGGACAUGGGAUAAGUCAUGCUAUAAGUAGUCAUGUGAAUUUGGUAUUCGUUCGAUAUUUUGAUGUGUUGUAUGUUGUUUUUCCUCUAGUGGUGUUAUGUGAACGUCGACUACAUAACACUUCACCAUUAUUUGGGCCUAGAGGGAGGCAUUGGGAAGUAGUAAGUAGAUGAUGGGUUGCUAGAGUGACAGAAGCUUUAACCCUAGUUUAUGCGUUGCUUCGUAAGGGGCUGAUUUGGAUCCACUAGUUUAAUGCUAUGGUUAGACUUUGUCUUAAUUCUUCUUUCGUACUUGCGGAUGCUUGCGAGAGGGGUUAAUGAUAAGUGGGAUGCUUGUCCAAGUAAGGGCAGUACCCAAGCGCCGGUCCAUCCACAUAUCCAACUAUCAAAGUAACGAACGCGAAUCGUAUGAACAUGAUGAAAACUAGCAUGACAGAAAUUCCCGUGUGUCCUCCGGAGCGUUUUUCCUCCUAUAAGACUUUGUCCAGGCUUGUCCCUUGCUACAAAAGGGAUUGGGACACUUUGCUGCACCGUUGUUACUUUUGUUACUUGCUACUUGCUACGAAUCAUCUCACCACACAACUACUUGUUACCGAUAAUUUCAGUGCUUGCAGAUUUUACCUUGCUGAAAACCACUUGUUAGAUCCUUCUGCUCAUCGUUGGGUUCGACACUCUUACUUAUCGAAAGGACUACGAUAGAUCCCUUAUACUUGUGGUCCAUCAAGACUCUUUUCUGGCACCGUUGCCGGGGAGUGAAGAGCCUUUGGUAAGUGGAAAUUGGUAAGGAAACAUUUAUAUAGUGUGCUGAAAUUUAUUGUCACUUGUCACUAUGGAAACUAAUCCUUUGAGGGGCUUGUUCGGGGUAUCUUCACGUCGAAUGGAAGCACAAAGAGUUUCUCCUCAACCUUCUGCACCUACUGAAAAUAUUUGCUUUGAAUUUCCUUCGGGUAUGCUUGAGAAACUGCUGGCUAAUCCUUUUACAGGAGAUGGAACAUCACAUCGAGACUUGCAUCUAAUUAAUGUAGAUUAAGUUUGUGGUUUAUUUAAGCUUGCAGGUUUGCCCGAGGAUGAGGUCAAGAGGAAGGUCUUUCCCUUAUCUUUGAGGGAUAAGGCGUUGACAUAGUAUAUGCUAUGUGAUGACACUGAAUCAUGGAACUACAAUCGGUUGAAAUUGGAAUUUCAUCAAAAGUUUUAUCCUAUGCAUUUAGUACAUCGUGAUCGGAAUUAUAUUUAUAAUUUUUGGCCUCGUGACAGAGAAAGCAUCGCUCAAGCUUGGGGGAGGCUCAAAUCAAUGUUAUAUUCCUGCCCCAACCAUGAGCUCUUGAGAGAAAUUAUCAUUUAGAACUUCUAUGCUCGGCUUUCUCAUGAUGAUCGCACCAUGCUUGACACUUCCUGUACCGGUUCUUUUAUGAAGAGAGAUAUUGACUUCAAAUGGAAUUUAUUGGAGAGAAGUAAAUGCAACUCUAAAGAUUGGGAGCUUGAAGAAGGUAAGGAGUCAGGUAUGAAUUUCAAGUUUGAUUGCGUUAAAUCCUUUGUUGAAACGAAUACUUCUUGUGACUUUAGCGCUAAGUAUGGACUUGACUCUGAGAUAGUAGCUUGAAUCAUUUGCUGCUCAUAUUGAUCUCGCCAAAGAGAAGUGGUUUAAAUAUCCUCCUCCUUUAGAAGUCAAUGUAGUUAAACCCAAUCCAGUUGAAGAGAAAGUCAUUGCCUAUAAUGAUCCUAUUGUUCCCAGUGCUUACAUUGAGAAACCACCUUUCCCUGUUAGGAUAAAGGAUCAUUCUAAAGCUUCAACUGUGAUAUGUAGAGGCUACAUUAGAACACCUACACCCCCUGAGAAAAUUAGAGUUGAACCUAGCAUUGCUAUUAUCAAAGAUCUUAUGUCCGACAAUGUUGAGGGCCAUGAUAUUCACUUCUGUGAAGGUGCUGCUAGAAUUGCUAAACCUCACGCUAGAGACAAACAUAGGCCUGUUGUUGGCACGCCUGUUGUUUCUGUUAAGAUAGGAGAUCAUUGUUAUCAUGGUUUAUGUGACGUGGGUGCUAGUGUUAGUGCAAUACCUCAAUCCUUAUAUGAUGAAAACAAAGACGAGAUCGCACCUAUUGAGAUAGAACCUAUUGAUGUCACUAUUCAGCUUGCUAAUAGAGAUACUAUCUGCCCUGUGGGAAUUGUUAGGGAUGUUGAAGUCUUGUGUGGUAAAACGAAGUAUCCUGCUGAUUUCCUCGUUCUUGCUACCACCCAAGAUAGCUUUUGUCCCAUCAUAUUUGGUAGACCUUUUCUCAAUACCGUCAAUGCUCAUAUUGACUGUGAGAAGCAAACUGUCACUGUUGGUUUGGAAGGUGUGUCAUACGAGUUGUAAGUGCAUCUAGUGCCCCUUAGUGAUCUUGGUGGUUUGAAGACUGAUAGGUUAAGUAUCUAAUGUGUUUAUGAGUGUACACAGGAUCUAUAAGUCACUAAGGAAUUUGAGAUAUUUGAUGAAUAUCGACCCCUAAAAAUGUAUAUCUUCGGUUGAAGAAAUUGGUCUGAAGCUCAAGAAUUGAAUCACGAAGAAUCUGCGAUGAAAUUGAUAUUACUCAUGAAGUUACUGAAAUUGAGGAAUUCGGUGUGUCAUGAAGAAAAUCAUUUUGAAGACUUUGAAGCAUGAAGAUUUACUCUUUCUGUUUUAUUUUCUUCACACUUGAGUAAUAGGAACACCGUACUGUUAAAGGGGGUCGAAGUUACACUUUNNNNNNNNNNNNNNNNNNNNNNNNNNNNNNNNNNNNNNNNNNNNNNNNNNNNNNNNNNNNNNNNNNNNNNNNNNNNNNNNNNNNNNNNNNNNNNNNNNNNNNNNNNNNNNNNNNNNNNNNNNNNNNNNNNNNNNNNNNNNNNNNNNNNNNNNNNNNNNNNNNNNNNNNNNNNNNNNNNNNNNNNNNNNNNNNNNNNNNNNNNNNNNNNNNNNNNNNNNNNNNNNNNNNNNNNNNNNNNNNNNNNNNNNNNNNNNNNNNNNNNNNNNNNNNNNNNNNNNNNNNNNNNNNNNNNNNNNNNNNNNNNNNNNNNNNNNNNNNNNNNNNNNNNNNNNNNNNNNNNNNNNNNNNNNNNNNNNNNNNNNNNNNNNNNNNNNNNNNNNNNNNNNNNNNNNNNNNNNNNNNNNNNNNNNNNNNNNNNNUGGUCUUAUCCACACCAAUGGUCAUAUUAUUUAAGGGCAUUAGUGUCAAAUCAUGUCGGGAUGCUCCCAGGCUAUAAAUAGCCGCCCCCCACAACCAUUAGCUGGUUGGCUGCUCCGUUAGGAACUGACACUUGUCAUAAGAGCAACCCAAAUUCCUCAGAGUCUUAGAGAGUAAUUCAUCAGUGAGGAAAUACCCCAUACACCGAAACCACAAACCUAGAACCAAGUGAUUGAGCAUCACUGAAGAAGUUGUUCCUGUGUGGGACUGAAGCCUUUUACCUUUGAGGACUGUGCAUCCUCCACACGGUUAGGCAUCAUGGUCUAGAGCAAUCCAGCAGUCAAUUGUGGAUAGCCGGGUGACCAAGUUUGUGAGGGUUUGGAAGUCUCCCAUGAAGACUUACCACGAGUGUUGGGCGAGGACUGUGUGUUCUUAGCCCAAGGAGAACACAGUAGGGACUCAAUACCAAGCCGCUCCAAACUAGAUGUACGACUAUCACAGCAGUUGGAACUGGGUCAUCAACUAUUGUCUUCGCUGUGAAACGGGUUCUAAUUCCUCAACUCCUUACUUUCCUCAGAUUAUGUGUAGAUGACUUUCACUGCUGCUGCUUGAAGAAUUUGCUGAAGACUUUCUCUGAAAUUCCUCAACCCCAAAUUCUUCAUGCUAGUUAAUCCUCAUCUGUUUUGUGCGUGCCUGCUCAUUAUGCAAUUUGUUUUCACAUUCCUUGCUCUGAAAAACUGCUGUUGUGAAAUUUUGCACUUCUGAUCCUUUACUGUUUCCGCUGUAAGUUAGUCAUGAGUGAGGAAUUUCCUCAGUGAUGAAAUUCUAAAAAUCUCCUAUUCACCCCCUCUAGUCGAUAUAACGCACUUUCAAUUGGUAUCAUAGCAAGGUACUCCAUUGUUCUGUGUGAUUUUGGUUUAACCACCUUGAGUUUUAGUUAUGUCGACUACUGGCAUGUUUAAGGUGACUGCAGCAUGUCCUACCUUCGAAGGAAAGAACUUUCCCUUCUGGCAGAACAAGAUGCAAAUGCAUCUACAAGCUAUUGAUAAUGAUCUCUGGUAUAUUGUGGAACAUGGCGUCCCCAUCAUCUCUGCUAGUGUCUCUACUGCUGAUGUGAAGAAAUUCAAGCAACUCGGUUCUCAAGCGAAGAAUAUCAUCUGUGGCCAUUUGAGCCCAGGCCAGUUUGGAAGAGUGAGUGCUUUGGGCUCUGCAACACUGAUCCGGGAGAGACUGUGCAAAGUAAAUGAAGGAGUAUCAACUCAGCGUGACUCUCGUGUUGAUAUUCUUCGCAAUCUCUUCAAUCGCUUCAAGAGGCAUGACAAUGAAAGCUGCCAAGACACCUUUGAUCACCUCACUGACAUAUCAAAUGAACUGCAAGCACUAGGAGCUCGAGACAUUACUGAUCACGAAGUUGUGAAGAAACUGCUAAGAUCUUUGGAUUCUUCAUUUGAUACUUUAGUUCUGAUGAUUCAAGAAAGACCAGACUACAAGAUGCUUGACCCAGCUGAUAUACUCGAAAGACUCAAUACUCAUGAAUUCCAGCUAAAAGAAAAGAAAGAUCUAUAUGGACCAAGUUAUUCCAGACCACGUGCACUGAAGGCUAGAGAAAUUUCCUCAUCUGAAGAAGAAGAUUCGGAUGAUAGCAUUGGUGACCCUGAAGAAUUUGGACAGGAGCUUGCAAUGCUCGUGAGGAAAUUCCAGAGGUUUACACGAUGUGGCCAGUUCGGUAAAUCUUCAAGAAGAGACAUGAGGAAAUCAAAACCUUCAUCUGAGGACUACAAGAAAAGAACCUGCCACAAAUGCAAGAAAUUAGGUCAUUACAUUGCUGGCUGUCCCCGUUGGGGAAAGGAAUCAAAGAAGAAGAAAUACGAGGAUGACAGUUCUGAUGACUCGACGAAGAAGAAGAAAUCUUCAAAAUCCUCAUCUUCAAAGCCCUCAUCGCACAAGAAGACUAGUUUCAGAAAGGCUCGGGCACUUAUUGGCAAGGUAAUGGAUUCCGAGGCAGAAUCAGAGGAAUGUGAUGAAGAAGAGGGUUCUGAUGAAGACUCAGAAUCCGGACAGGCUAGUCUUGCACUGGCAACCACUUUCGUCAGCAAGUCAAUCUUCAACAUUGAAGAAGAUGAUAACACCAUCCACACUCAUGACUAUGCUGAUGACUUCGCUCCAACCUAUUGCUUCAUGGCAAAAGGUUCAGAGGUACCGAAUGAUGCUCCCUCCUCUGAUUCAAGUGACUAUGAACCUGAUGAUUAUAAAAACCUAGUUACAGUAAACUUGCUAUCAUUGCCACUAAACAACAAACUGCCCUGGAAAAGCUUCAGAAACUGCUAGAUAGAAGUGAUGAUCUGUUGAAUGAUGAAAUGAAUCUUACCCAAAUCCUCAUUGAAGAUGUGAAAAGUCUUCAGUCUAGAUUUGAUAAUCUUCAAGAUCGUUAUGAUACACUCCUCGCUGAUCAUGAGAAACUUUCCUAUGAAUUUAUUCAAAGGAAGCUUGAUCUAGAGAAGCUGAGGAUUUCUCAUGAUGAUCUUCGUAUGGAAAAUGAUUCAUUACUAGCUCAACAGAUCAGCGCUGCUCAAGCUGAAUUCAUUCCUCCAUGUCUUAAAUGCAUUGAACGCGAAACUACUAAUUCUUCACCAGAAUCAUCAAAUGCUUCUAUUGCUACAAAUUCUUCAACUGCACCUGUAGUGUCUAUUUCCUCACUUGAGGAAAACACAAAUGUUACUGAUGAAAAUGCAGGGUUGAAGGAAUUGUAUGUGAUAGGCAUAUAUAAAAGCCUCAAAGGACAUCAAACCCUUUGUGAUAUGCUCAAAAAGCAGAUCUUGAACAGGAACCCGAGGAAAGAAGGAAUUGCCUUUGAGAGGAAAUUAAAUGCUGAUGGAUCUUAUUGGAAACCUGAGCAGUGUCCCAAAACCUCAUGGGUUGCUGCUACUGGGCCUCCUUUUGAUCCAUCUAAUCUAUCUGGCUUUUCAUGUGAAUUAUCCACUCCAACUAUAAACAGUUCAAAAAUCAAUCUGGUGAAGUAUUUGCUCGAUAUGUUGGAACUAACUGCAGGAAUGGCCCUCCCUUGAGGAAAAUCUGGGUUCCCAAAAGCUGUCUUGAAAAUCUUGAGGUGAAUGUCCUCAUGACACCACCGAUGAAUAAUCUGAACCCCGGAUCAAAUUCCUCAGGAGGACCAAAGUCUUCAAGAGGAUCAAAAUCCUCAAGUGGUCAAAAUUAUGCUCGUACCCGUGCUAAUGCUUCUAACAUGCAGGGAAACUACAAGGAAUAUGAAUAUGAGCGUUACUCUUCAAAUCAUUAUAUUCAUAAAUCCUCAAACCAGUUCUCUGCAUAUUCAAAUGAGUACUUUAACCCCCUACUGUUAAGAGAAGUGCAUUAGCUUCAAUGCCACCUUUCUCAUAUGGUGCUCGCAGAAUGAUGAAUGCUUUACCAGCUCUUCAGAUGUGGGUGGUGAGGAAAUCGAACUAAUCACUUCUGCAGGACAGGUCUACAGAUGAAAAUCAUCAUCUGAAGAAUUUGCUGGAGACCUGAGAAAAUGCUUGACAGGACGCAAGCCAAUAUUGAUGAAAUAGAAAUAUUUCACACGUCCUUUUAAUUCUGUUGUGAUGAAAUUCUUAUCUGAUGAAAUUGAUAUCAUAUUCUUGAAAUCUGAAGCAUAUGAGAUGGUAAGCUGUACUAAUUCAUCUGCAGGAUGACAAACCCAAGAAUACUGAGUGGGUUCUUGAUAGUGGCUGCACACAUCACAUGACUGGUGAUAAAAGCUUGCUGAUGAAUAUGCCACUAACUCCAUCACCUCUGAAGCAAAUCACAUAUGCUGACAAAGGUAAAAGCAAGGUAUUGGGACUUGGCAAAGUGGCUAUUUCCAAGGAUAGGCAUAUGGACAAAGUGAUGCUUGUUGAAUCCCUUGGUUUUAACCUCAUGUCAGUCUCGAUGCUUUGUGAUCUUGAUAUGAUUGUUAUCUUUGGUAGAUAUAGAUGUGUAGUAAUCAUGGAAUCUGACAGAUCCAAAGUCUUCGAAGGUGUAAGAAGAGGGGAUUUGUACAUUGUUGAUUUCUCUACAGGUCCUAAACCAGCCACUUGCUUACUAGCAAAAACCCCAGAAGGAUGGCUGUGGCACCGAAUACUAGGUCAUGCAGGAAUGAGGAAUUUGCACACGCUCCCGAAGAAGAAGCAUCUCAUCGGCAUCGAAUCAGUCAAAUUCCUCAAGGAUCAUCUCUGCGGUGCAUGUGAAUCUGGGAAAAUGACCAGAUCCAAGCAUCCCUCGAAGACUAUCAUGACCACUACACGUCCAUUUGAAUUGCUUCAUAUGGAUCUAUUUGGACCUACUCACUAUGCCACACUAACCAAUGCAGCAUCUUUAUAUGGCCUCGUCAUAGUUGAUGAUUAUUCCAGAUAUACAUGGGUGCAUAUCAUAGUGUAUAAAACUGAAGUGCAGGAAAUCUUCAAACGAUUUUCUUCAAGGGCCUCGACAAACUUUGGCAUCAAGAUCAAACAUAUCAGGAGUGAUAAUGGAACAGAGUUCAAAAACACUCGUCUUGAUGAUUAUCUUGAUGAACUUGGUAUUACUCACGAAUUAUCUGCUCCUUAUACUCCUCAGCAGAAUGGUGUCGUUGAAAGGAAGAAUAGGACUCUGGUUGAGAUGGCUAGAACUAUGCUUGAAGAAUAUCAGACUCCUCAUCGCUUUUGGCCUGAAGCAAUCAACACUUCAUGCGAUAUCAUCAACAUGGUAUAUCUUCACAAAUUCCUCAAGAAAACCUCAUAUGAACUCCUCACUGAUAAGAAACCCAAUGUAAGUUAUUUCAAAGUCUUUGGUGCAAAAUGUUGGAUUAGAGUUCCUCACCAUAGCUCAAAAUUUGCACCUAAGGCACAUGAAGGUUUUAUGCUCGGUUAUGGAAAGGACUCGCACACCUACCGAGUCUUCAACAACUAUCACAACAAAGUUGUUGAGACUGUAGAUGUGCGGUUCGAUGAAACUAAUGGCUCGCAAAGAGAGCAAUUGCCUUCUAAUCCAGAUAAGCUGUCUCUUGAGGAAGCAAUAAAGCUCAAACCUACUGAAGACAUUGUCCCCACUAAGGAAAUUGGUGAAGAAACGAUCCCCAUCACUGAUGAAAAUCAAGAAGAUGCUCCUGAGGAAAUUGCACCAGAACCACUUCCUCAACCAGCUCAUCCAAGGAUUGCAAAUGAAGUAGAACUUGACAAAAUCCUCAACGACAUCAACGUGCCAGGUCCUCUCACUCGCUCAAAAGCUUCACACUUAGUUAACUUUUGUGGACAUUUUUUCCUUUGUAUCCAUCACAGAACCCUCAAAAGUUGCUGAGGCUUUUCUGGAACCGGAGUGGAUCCAAGCUAUGCAAGACGAACUUCUUCAAUUCAAGCUGAAUGACGUAUGGGAGCUCGUCAAACGACCAGAUCCUCGCAAGCACAACAUCAUCGGUACCAAGUGGAUUUUCCGAAACAAGCAAGAUGAGGACGGUCAAGUGGUGAGGAACAAGGCAUGACUUGUAGCUCAAGGCUACACCCAGGUUGAAGGAAUAGAUUUCGAUGAAACUUUUGCACCUGUUGCUAGACUUGAAGCUAUUCGAAUACUACUUGCUUAUGCUAAUCAUCAUAACAUCAUUUUAUAUCAAAUGGAUGUGAAAAGUGCAAUCCUAAAUGGUAAGCUUGAGGAAGAUGUAUAUGUUGCUCAGCCCCCAGGUUUUGAGGAUCCAAAGAAUCCAGACAAAGUCUUCAGACUCAAAAAGGCUCUCUAUGGUCUCAAGCAAGCCCCUCGGGCAUGGUAUGAUACAUUGAAGGAAUUCCUCAUGAAGAAAGGCUUCAAACCUGGUUCACUCGAUCCAACUCUUUUCACUAAAUCCUAUGAUAAUGAGCUAUUUGUGUGUCAAAUAUAUGUCGAUGAUAUCAUAUUUGGCUGUACUGACAAACGAUAUAGUGAUGAUUUUGCUUACAUGAUGAGUGAAGAAUAUCAUAUGUCUAUGACGGGGGAGCUGAAAUUCUUCUUAGGUCUUCAAAUUCGUCAACAACACAAUGGAAUCUUCAUAUCAGAGGAGAAAUACCUCAAGGAUGUUCUGAGGAAAUUCGACAUGCAUGAAUGCAAAGGUGCCAAGACUCCAAUGCCUACCAACGGCCACCUCUGGGCUGAUGAAAAUGAUAAAGAAUUUGAUCAGCAGGUAUAUCGCUCUAUGAUUGGCUCUUUAUUGUAUCUAUGUGCAUCUAGGCCAGAUAUAAUGCUUAGUGUUUGCAUGUGUGCACGUUUUCAAGCAAAACCGAAGGAAUCACACCAUAAGGGUGUGAAGCAUAUUCUUCGAUACUUAGCUCACACACCAACGCUAGGAUUAUGGUAUCCCAAGGGCUCAAAUCUUCAUCUGGUAGGAUAUUCUGAUUCUGACCAUGCUGGUGAUCGUGUGGAUCGCAAGUCAACUUCUGGUACAUGUCAUUUCCUCGGAAGAUCACUAGUUUGCUGGUCCUCAAAGAAGCAGAACUGCGUAUCACUCUCCACUGCCGAAGCUGAGUACAUUGCUGCUGGUUCAUGCUGUGCUCAAUUACUAUGGAUGAAGCAAACCCUCAAGGACUACGGCAUCAACAUGAAGAAUGUGCCUCUCUACUGCGACAAUGAGAGUGCAAUCAAGAUUGCAUACAACCCAGUACAACACUCGAAGACUAAGCACAUCCAGAUUCGUCAUCAUUUUCUUCGGGACCAUGUCCUCAAGGGCAAUAUCCUCAACGACCAUGUGAAGACUGAUGAUCAACUCGCAGAUAUCUUCACUAAGCCCUUGGAUGAGAAAAGGUUUUGCAAGUUGCGGUGUGAGCUAAAUAUCUUAGAAUCUUCAAAUGUUUUGUAAAAACAUGCACACAUCCUAACACUUAUGCAAAAUUGAUGACUUAGAUGUGAAACACAUGAUGAAUCGAUUUUCU
rnacentral:lncRNA from 1 species